UACGUAGGCAGCAAGCGUUGUUCGGAGUUACUGGGCGGAAAGGGCGCGUAGGCGGCUCAUGAAGGCUGUGGUGAAAGUCCGGGGCUCAACCUCGGAUCGGCCGUGGCGACUCGUGGGCUGGAGCACUGUAGAGGCGGGUGGAAUUCCGGGUGUAGCGGUGGAAUGCGUAGAGAUCCGGAAGAACACCAGUGGCGAAGGCGGCCCGCUGGGCAGUGGCUGACGCUGAGGCGCGACAGCGUGGGGAGCAAACAGG
rnacentral:rRNA from 1 species